CGGGGUGAGUAAUGCCUAGGAAUCUGCCUGGUAGUGGGGGACAACGUUUCGAAAGGAACGCUAAUACCGCAUACGUCCUACGGGAGAAAGCAGGGGACCUUCGGGCCUUGCGCUAUCAGAUGAGCCUAGGUCGGAUUAGCUAGUUGGUGAGGUAAUGGCUCACCAAGGCGACGAUCCGUAACUGGUCUGAGAGGAUGAUCAGUCACACUGGAACUGAGACACGGUCCAGACUCCUACGGGAGGCAGCAGCA
rnacentral:rRNA from 1 species